UGGCCGUCCGAGUUGUAAUCUAGAGAAGUGUUACCCGUGCUGGACCGUGUAUAAGUCUCCUGGAACGGAGCGUCAUAGAGGGUGAGAAUCCCGUCUUUGACACGGACUACCAGUGCUUUUGUGGUGCUCUCAAAGAGUCGAGUUGUUUGGGAAUGCAGCUCAAAAUGGGUGGUAAAUUCCAUCUAAAGCUAAAUAUUGGCGAGAGACCGAUAGCGAACAAGUACCGUGAGGGAAAGAUGAAAAGAACUUUGGAAAGAGAGUUAAACAGUACGUGAAAUUGCUGAAAGGGAAACGCUUGAAGUCAGUCGCGUUGGCUGGAAAUCAACCUUGCUUUUGUUGGGUGUACUUUCUAGUUGACGGGCCAGCAUCAGUUUUGACCGGUGGAAAAAGUCCAAGGGAAUGUGGCAUCUUCGGAUGUGUUAUAGCCCUUGGUCGUAUGCACUGAUUGGGACUGAGGAAUUCAGCACGCCGAAAGGCCGGGUCUUUGGACCACGUUCGUGCUUAGGAUGCUGGCAUAAUGGCUUUAAUCGACCCGUCUUGAAACACGGACCAAGGAGUCUAACAUGCCUGCGAGUGUUUGGGUGGAAAACCCGAGCGCGUAAUGAAAGUGAAAGUUGGGAUCCCUGUCGCGGGGAGCACCGACGCCCGGACCAGACGUUCUCUGACGGAUCCGCGGUAGAGCAUGUAUGUUGGGACCCGAAAGAUGGUGAACUAUGCCUGAAUAGGGUGAAGCCAGAGGAAACUCUGGUGGAGGCUCGUAGC
rnacentral:rRNA from 1 species